UACGUAGGGUGCAAGCGUUGUCCGGAAUUAUUGGGCGUAAAGAGCUCGUAGGCGGUUUGUCGCGUCUGCCGUGAAAGUCCGGGGCUCAACUCCGGAUCUGCGGUGGGUACGGGCAGACUAGAGUGAUGUAGGGGAGACUGGAAUUCCUGGUGUAGCGGUGAAAUGCGCAGAUAUCAGGAGGAACACCGAUGGCGAAGGCAGGUCUCUGGGCAUUAACUGACGCUGAGGAGCGAAAGCAUGGGGAGCGAA
rnacentral:rRNA from 1 species